rnacentral:tRNA from 1 species
GGUCUGGUAGUUCAGNUGGUUAGAAUACCUGCCUGUCACGCAGGGGGUCGCGGGUUCGAGUCCCGUCCAGACCGCAA